UGUGGAAGCAAUUUGGAACUCUGGGC
rnacentral:misc_RNA from 1 species